UACGAAGGGGGCUAGCGUUGCUCGGAAUCACUGGGCGUAAAGCGCACGUAGGCGGCUUGUUAAGUCAGGGGUGAAAUCCUGGAGCUCAACUCCAGAACUGCCUUUGAUACUGGCAAGCUUGGAGUCCGGGAGAGGUGAGUGGAACUGCGAGUGUAGAGGUGAAAUUCGUAGAUAUUCGCAAGAACACCAGUGGCGAAGGCGGCUAACUGGUCCAGUACUGACGCUGAGGUGCGAAAGCGUGGGGAGCAAACAGG
rnacentral:rRNA from 1 species